UGGGGAAUAUUGGACAAUGGGCGCAAGCCUGAUCCAGCCAUGCCGCGUGAGUGAUGAAGGCCCUAGGGUUGUAAAGCUCUUUCACCGGUGAAGAUAAUGACGGUAACCGGAGAAGAAGCCCCGGCUAACUUCGUGCCAGCAGCCGCGGUAAUACGAAGGGGGCUAGCGUUGUUCGGAAUUACUGGGCGUAAAGCGCACGUAGGCGGACAUUUAAGUCAGGGGUGAAAUCCCGGGGCUCAACCCCGGAACUGCCUUUGAUACUGGGUGUCUAGAGUUCGAGAGAGGUGAGUGGAAUUCCGAGUGUAGAGGUGAAAUUCGUAGAUAUUCGGAGGAACACCAGUGGCGAAGGCGGCUCACUGGCUCGAUACUGACGCUGAGGUGCGAAAGCGUGGGGAGCAAAACAGGAUUAGGAUACCCUGGUAGUCCACGCCGUAAACGAUGGAAGCCAGCUGUCGGCAAGUUUACUUGUCGGUGGCGCAGCUAACGCAUUAAGCUUCCCGCCUGGGGAGUACGGUCGCAAGAUUAAAACUCAAAUGAAUUGACGGGGUCAUAGCUGUUUCCUG
rnacentral:rRNA from 1 species